rnacentral:lncRNA from 1 species
GGGGGACCUUGGAUAAUGACAGUAAUUGUCACAACUUCCAAUCUUCCUCAAGCUUUAGAGUUCAGGACUCUGGAUCCCCUCACCAAGGCCACGGCACCAGAGAGGAUGAAAAGGGCCGAUGUUGCAUCUCAGCUGCCCUCUUAGCUGACUAGCCGCACGGAAAAAAAGAAUCCUUGGAAAAUGAAAUAACAUAUCUUUAUAACUAUUUUUCUCGACUGGGAUACAGCAGGGAGCAGAUGAGAAACCCAAUUUCCACCACUUUGCAAACACUGGAAGUGAAACUAUGCAGUUUUCUUCUGAAGCAAAUUGCUUUAAGUAGAAAAGCUGCUUCCAGCAAAAUGACGAAGCAUUCCAAGUAUCACCGGUGUGCAUGGUGUGGUCCAAAGGGGGCCCUGAAGCUUGCCGAGCACUAACAAGCCAUCUCUGGUUAGCGAGCCGACAGGUGCCUGCAAGUCCAAGCAGCAGAUGACAUCAGGCCGAGGCUGGGGUCCCACAGGCAAACUCACCCCAGCGGACCUCGUGAUACUUUGGGAGGCCAGGCUCACUGUCUCCCAUUCUAGUCACCUUGUUACCAACUCCUGUGGAAAAUUUAAUGUGGCCAGAAGGAAUUCUGACCUCUUUUAGACAAAAACAUGCUCAUGUUUUUAUGAUGAACUAUUGCAUAUUUUUAUUGAAAACAUUUAAUACUGCUCUAAAAGGGUGACUAUUUUUUAGGUAUUGCCCCACUGCUGAUUUCUGAUUGAAUGCUGCCAAGAACAAGAAAGGAGGAAAAAAAAAAAAAAAAAAAAACUGGAGACGCUAUCAGAUUCAUUAAACAUUGUAUUUAAUUGUUCUUGUAUUUAAACCCUGCCCUUAUCAGUGACAUUGCCACUUUUCUCAUUUUUCAAAGUUGCAUAUUGGAAGAAAACAAGAAAAGGGAGCAAUGGUGUGGCCUGGGAAACUAGGGUGUUUACUGCCUAGAGGAACCAGAAGUUCAUAUGGGCCUGGCUGGCUGAAGAAAUGACAGCUCAGCAUAGGGAAGGGGAGGGAAAAAAAAAAAAAAAAAAAAAAAGGCGAUAGCAGCAGCAAAGCAAGAACAAAACAUUUAAAGAGAUCUGGCCAGAACUGGUCUGCACAAAUUCCUGUCCUGCCUUCCUCCUCCUCGCUCCCACAAGCCGCAGCAAUCUUGCCUUCCCUAGGAAACUGCAACUCCUACCUCCUCCGAGGGGGCUGCGCACGCGCCCCGUGCCGGGGUGCGCGCAUUUUCCCUCU